rnacentral:rRNA from 1 species
AAAGCUGCUAAGAAUUAAGCCAUGCAUGUCUAAGUAUAAGCAAUUAUACCGCGAAACUGCGAAUGGCUCAUUAUAUAAGUUAUCGUUUAUUUGAUAGUACCUUACUACUUGGAUAACCGUGGUAAUUCUAGAGCUAAUACAUGCUAAAAAUCCCGACUUCGGAAGGGAUGUAUUUAUUAGAUUAAAAACCAAUGCCCUUCGGGGCUCACUGGUGAUUCAUGAUAACUCCUCGAAUCGCAUGGCCUUGCGCCGGCGAUGGUUCAUUCAAAUUUCUUCCCUAUCAACUUUCGAUGUUUGGGUAUUGGCCAAACAUGGUUGCAACGGGUAACGGAGGGUUAGGGCUCGACCCCGGAGAAGGAGCCUGAGAAACGGCUACUACAUCCAAGGAAGGCAGCAGGCGCGCAAAUUACCCAAUCCCGACACGGGGAGGUAGUGACAAUAAAUACUGAUACAGGGCUCUUUUGGGUCUUGUAAUUGGAAUGAGUACAAUUUAAAUCCCUUAACGAGGAACAAUUGGAGGGCAAGUCUGGUGCCAGCAGCCGCGGUAAUUCCAGCUCCAAUAGCGUAUAUUAAAGUUGUUGUGGUUAAAAAGCUCGUAGUUGAACCUUGGGCCUGGCCGUCCGGUCCGCCUCACCGCGUGUACUGGCUCGGCCGGGCCUUUCCCUCUGUGGAACCCCAUGCCCUUCACUGGGCGUGGCGGGGAAACAGGACUUUUACUGUGAAAAAAUUAGAGUGCUCCAGGCAGGCCUAUGCUCGAAUACAUUAGCAUGGAAUAAUAGAAUAGGACGUGUGGUUCUAUUUUGUUGGUUUCUAGGACCGCCGUAAUGAUUAAUAGGGACAGUCGGGGGCAUCAGUAUUCAAUUGUCAGAGGUGAAAUUCUUGGAUUUAUUGAAGACUAACUACUGCGAAAGCAUUUGCCAAGGAUGUUUUCAUUAAUCAGGAACGAAAGUUAGGGGAUCGAAGACGAUCAGAUACCGUCGUAGUCUUAACCAUAAACUAUGCCGACUAGGGAUCGGACGGUGUUAUUUUUUGACCCGUUCGGCACCUUACGAGAAAUCAAAGUGCUUGGGCUCCAGGGGGAG